GGUAGGGUGGCAUAGUGGUUUGAGUGUUGGACUACAUCUCUGGAGACCAGGGUUCAAUUCCUGCUUGGCCA
rnacentral:tRNA from 1 species